rnacentral:tRNA from 1 species
AGCCUCUGAAGGAUAACAGCUAAUCCCUUGGUCUUAGGAACCAAAAACUCUUGGUGCAACUCCAAGCAGAAGC